UACGAAGGGGGCUAGCGUUGCUCGGAAUUACUGGGCGUAAAGGGCGCGUAGGCGGAUGUUUAAGUCGGGGGUGAAAGCCCAGGGCUCAACCCUGGAAUUGCCUUCGAUACUGGACAUCUUGAGUACGGGAGAGGUGAGUGGAACUCCGAGUGUAGAGGUGGAAUUCGUAGAUAUUCGGAAGAACACCAGUGGCGAAGGCGACUCACUGGCCCGUUACUGACGCUGAUGCGCGAAAGCGUGGGGAGCAAACAGGG
rnacentral:rRNA from 1 species